AAUCAUUUUCACAUUGUUGUCCCAGAAGUGUGUCAAAGCUGAGCUUAUCAAUACCUCACUGUAUCUGUUUUGGAGAAUGGCACAACCAUCUACUUUGUUGCUCAAACUUGUAAGAAACUCAGAAGACAUACAUUUGAAAUCUUUUUGCUCUUUCUCACCUUUUAAAGUUCUCUAUAAUCUGUAUUUUCCUCCCUCUCCACUACAGUUAAUUUAGUUCAGGUACCUGGUGUUCUUACUUACAGUAUAAUAAUAACUUCCUAACAAGUCUCCCUACCUUCAUUCUUGCCCCUUAAUCCAUCCUCUACACCAACUCAGGAAUGGCCAUUCUAAAAUAGAGAUUUAUUUUUUUAACUUUUAUUGGAAAGACAUUCAGACUCAGAUAACAGAAAACCUGUUUUAUAUCACCAAAGGGAUUUAUAAUCUAGAAUAACAAGAAAUCUGAAAAUGGCUGUAAGCUUUGAGUGGCUCAGUAGUGUCAUUCCUGCGUUAUCUGAGAUGAUUUUGGUCCUUCCCUUAAGGUUACAGGAUGUCUGAUACAGUUUGAGAUCUGCUAAAUUUAAGGCAAAAAGACAAGGGGUGGAGAAAGUCAUGGCUAUUCAUCAAAAAGAAGCUUUGCCAGAAGCCUUUUUGGGUAGAUUUACAUUUUACUGUCCAUAACUGUCUCCAUGGUUAUCCCUCCCUCCAUGGGAGGCUUGGAAUGUGAGCUUUUACCUUUCUUAGCUUCUACAGUAAAAGUGGGCAAGGGAGAAAAGGGACUGGGGUGGGUUAGCCAGUCUCUGAGGUUUAUAUUUCUCUUCUACUAAAAAUCUUUCACUGGUUCCACAUUUUCUUCAAGAUAGUAAAGUUCAACCUUUCUCCUUCCCUUUUAAUAAGAGUUUAAUUUUUUGUCUUUCUCCCCUACUAGAUAGCAAGUUUCUGGGACAACAACAUGAAAGGAGUUGAUAACUCCACUUAUUAGCAGUGUCUAGCACAUAGUAGAAGCUCAGUAAAAUUUGUUCCAGGUUAAAUUUCAAUUUGUGCAGGUAAUGUGAUACAGAUUUCCUUGAAAAGAGACAGUAAAAGGCCCUACAAGCAACGCAUAUUGGGGUUUGUAUGCAAGAAACCCCACUGAAAGAAAAUUCAAUGUGAAUAGCGCAAGAUGGGCUGUGUGGGCCGUCAGCUGAUCACAGGAGCAGAGAGAAUACUCUCUAUAGCUGCCAUCUGGCCUGCUGCAAUGGUGGAGGACAGAUGAAUGGGAUCAGCACCUGCCAGGAGGAAAGAGCUCCCAGGGCUGGUUCUUUGACGCAGCUCCCUGGCUGACCCAAAAUAGGGCUGAGCAGGCUGGAGGUUCUCCCCCUGCCUACCUGGGAGUAAAGUUUUGAGUCCAUUGCUGACUAGCAGGCCAAGCAUCACUGGAAGGAGUCUCCAGGCUGUGUUGCCAGCAAGAGCUAUUUGCAGGUGGGUCCAUGGAAAGUGGGAGAGACCAGAAGUCUCUGCCAGCCUUUGACCUUUCAAAGGCCCUCUCUCUGAUGUCACAUAGACCACUGCUUCUGCCUGGUGUGGCUCUCCUGGGAGUACUGUGUAGCCCUGCUCCCUCUGGUUCUCUGACCCAUGCUGAGUCUGGAAGGAUUUCUGUCACAAGCCCUGCAUUCCCAGACCCUUCAUCUGUAGCAGCAAACAGAGGACAGAGCCCCUGCACUUCCAGCAUUGCUUAUGAUGUUCAGAAUUAAGAGUGGUGGUAACAAACUGGUUUACUUUCUCCCUCAUCUGGAUAGGACCGCCCUUAGUGCUGGUGUGUCUGAUUAGCUUUUGCUUGGAGAUAAGAUAUCCUGGAACAAAUGUCCCACUGAUUGAAAUUUGCUUUUGCUGCUUUAAGCAAGAAUGUACCAGCAAAUACACACAUACACACACACAUACUACAUAUACUCAUUAAAGGAAAACAGCUGCAAUUCUAACAUCUGGGACCUUUAUGAUCGAUAAUCCUCAGAGAAAAAAUGGACCAUUUUGUAUUUGAAAGUGGCAAGACCCAAAGAGAAAAAGGAAGGAAAGGAAAAGAAAGUGACCUAUCUAGUUCCUUGGGGUUACCUGUUAUGCAGUCCUGCUACCACUUCUACAGUCAUUUGCUCCCACAUAAUUCCAUUUUGUGACCACACUAGCAGUGAGAAAACUAUACCUCUGUAAAUAAAUCUGUACCAUGCUUUUU